rnacentral:rRNA from 1 species
AUGAACGCUGGCGGCGUGCCUAAUACAUGCAAGUCGAGCGAACAGACGAGGAGCUUGCUCCUCUGACGUUAGCGGCGGACGGGUGAGUAACACGUGGAUAACCUACCUAUAAGACUGGGAUAACUUCGGGAAACCGGAGCUAAUACCGGAUAAUAUAUUGAACCGCAUGGUUCAAUAGGGAAAGACGGUUUUGCUGUCACUUAUAGAUGGAUCCGCGCCGCAUUAGCUAGUUGGUAAGGUAACGGCUUACCAAGGCAACGAUGCGUAGCCGACCUGAGAGGGUGAUCGGCCACACUGGAACUGAGACACGGUCCAGACUCCUACGGGAGGCAGCAGUAGGGAAUCUUCCGCAAUGGGCGAAAGCUUGACGGAGCAACGCCGCGUGAGUGAUGAAGGUCUUCGGAUCGUAAAACUCUGUUAUUAGGGAAGAACAAAUGUGUAAGUAACUAUGCACGUCUUGACGGUACCUAAUCAGAAAGCCACGGCUAACUACGUG